AUACCAUGAUAGGGACAUUUUCUUAAUAGCUCCUUAAAUAUUUCCCAAGAGUCAAACAAAGAUUUACCAUCCAGUUGAUAAAAAUUAUUAAUCUCCCCUCUCAAUUU